UGGGGUUGUGGCUCAGUGGUAGAGUGCUCACCUAGCAUGUGAGAGGCCCUGGGUUCGAUCCUCAGCACCACAU